AGAGUUAAAUAUGCGCCAGAAUGAUGAAAAUCCAAGGAUAGGAGAGGACACAGCAUUUUCUCCAAGUCUUUGAGAAUACCUGAGGAUGUGCGCUCACACAUGCCCUUUCCACAACAUAUAUGGACUGGCUCAUGUUCCUCCUGCUCCCAGGAGCCUUCCUGGUUUCGUGCUGGUCUCCCAUAGAUGAUCCUACCAGGAGAUCUACACUUUGCACCUCCUGUGAUGAAUUUGUUGACAAGACCUGCAGAAGGAAUUCAGGUUUCUGUCAAUCCAAAUAUCCUGACUUUGCAUGCCAGACCAAAGAAGUGUAUACUCAACAUUUCACUGGAGAAUACAUGUACCAAUAUUCGAUGCUGGGCUGCCCCAAAAGAUGUGUGGAAUAUGUACGCAUCACCAAGUGGCAGAAAAAUAUAUUCUUCUGUUGUAAUGAAAGCUAUUGCAAUAGCUUGUCAGUAAAAGACAACAUUCCAUCCAGUCCUAUUUCACUAAAGAAUUUUGUUUGAGAUACUCAGUUGAUUUGCAGAAACCUCCUUCUGACGGCAUCCUGCUCAUUCCUUCAAGAAAAAACAUCAAGAUCCAGAAAUGCCUUCACUCCCAACCUCCACCCACAUUGUCUUUCAAGAGCCAAGAGGCCCAAGGGAAACAAGCUGUGGAUAAAGAAGGAAGAUGUGGAACUCUGAAAUGCCAUUGGGGCUUGAGACCCACCAGGCCCAGUGUUUUGUUUUGCUGUUUUGGCUAGGGGCCAAACCCCAAGUCCAGGUAAGGGUGGGAAAGAACAUCAGGCUGUACUGGGACAUCUGAAACACCCCAAAUGGGUUGCAAUAACAACUCUAAUGAAUAAGAUAAACAUACACAGGGUAUUCAUGCUGUUUUUAUAGUGGACCAGAUAAGAAGGAAGGGAUACCAGGCAGAGAAUGGUCUGUCAAAGGUCCCCAAGUUAUUUUAUCCCUCAAAUGUUAGGAUCCUAGAUCCUGUUAGGCUCUUGACACUCAUGGGCUGGGGAGGUUCCAGAAACAGGGUGCUCUUAUAGGGAGGGCCUGCCUUUCCACAAGGAGAUCCUCUGCCUUCUUGGGGACGGUUAGAAUGGACAGGUGUGAAGAGGGCAGUGGGAAGGGAAAAUAUCUGGUCAUUGUAGAACUUAAGUAUUAAAGAACACAAAUUCUGGAAAAGAUUGCUUGAGUUUGAAUCACAUCACUUCUUCUUACUAGCCCUAGUGACCUUGAGCAACUUACUUAGCUCCUUUGUACCAGGACCACUUCCUACUUUACACUGAUGAUGUGAGGGCUAAGUGAGUUUGUAUCUAUUAGGAACACAUUAAACAUAUUUCUCAUCAACUGUGUGCCAAAUACUGGGUCGGUCCCUUUACAAAUCAUCUCAUAAACUCUCCAAUGCAAUGAGGAGAUUGUUAUUUCUAUUUUUGCAGAGGAAGAACUUGUGGGUCAGGGAGGUUAAUCGACUUUGUAGAGUGCACAGAGCAGGUAACACCAGAGCUGGAUGCAGAGGCAGAGGCAUCUGCCUGCACUCAUCCUACUUGAUCCCAUGCUUGCCUGAACAUGAGGACCCUGUGAGGGUUCCCAGGGCAUCCCCACCUCUUUCCAGCCAAUGGCCCUGCUCUCUUAACUGUGGCCUGGAGCUCCCUCCCCACUCUAUCCAGGACUCUGCUGUCAAACUCUCCAUUCUUGAUCUUAUCCCUGUGUUCUGUUGAUUUUGUGGCUCAUUGAGGUAGGAGAUUCAAGUGGUGGACAGCACAAGUUUUGGAGUCAAAUAGACCCACAUAGACAGCAAGACUCUGACACUUAUAGGACUGCAAGACUCUGGGAAAGACCAUCCUGGUUCCAAAUUUCUUCUUCUGUAAAAUAAAG